rnacentral:rRNA from 1 species
ACGAACGCUGGCGGCGUGCUUAACACAUGCAAGUCGAACGGAAAGGCCCUGCUUUUGUGGGGUGCUCGAGCGGCGAACGGGUGAGUAACACGUGAGUAACCUGCCCUUGACUUUGGGAUAACUUCAGGAAACUGGGGCUAAUACCGGAUAGGAGCUCCUGCUGCAUGGUGGGGGUUGGAAAGUUUCGGCGGUUGGGGAUGGACUCGCGGCUUAUCAGCUUGUUGGUGGGGUAGUGGCUUACCAAGGCUUUGACGGGUAGCCGGCCUGAGAGGGUGACCGGCCACAUUGGGACUGAGAUACGGCCCAGACUCCUACGGGAGGCAGCAGUGGGGAAUAUUGCACAAUGGGCGGAAGCCUGAUGCAGCAACGCCGCGUGCGGGAUGACGGCCUUCGGGUUGUAAACCGCUUUCGCCUGUGACGAAGCGUGAGUGACGGUAAUGGGUAAAGAAGCACCGGCUAACUACGUG